GUAAGGGCCUGAGCCAGGUAUCCAAAAGCAGAUGCAAUUCUCUGGCCCCUUCUCCUCAAAUACAAAGGAAUGCUCAUUUGCUUGAUCUACUGAUUGCAGUUUUGCUAUCACGGUACUUGUCUGCUGCUAGAGCUCAUCAUCACAGGACAAUAACCGUGGCUCUACAGGAAAGGCAGAAGAUGGUAGCAGAGGGGCAGUCUGACAGAAUGGCGUCUGACAUGGAAGUGCGUAUUCAGCAAAGUUACAUGUACCUGAGCGCCAAGACCAUGUGUUAGUGUGAUUCUUCCUAAAGGGAGAUGAGGAGCACUGUCAGAAAGACCACAGCACCUGCAGCAGAGUCACUGUGGAAGUGGAGCACAAAGCAGUCACUUUGGUUUCUUCAUCAGCAUUUUGAAAUGCCUGAUUGAACUGAAGAGAUAUGGGACACUGUCUUUUAUCUGCACGCUAACAGACACGUCUGUGCUGUGCAGGAGAAUUAAUUGCUCUCCAGCCUGAAAUACAUAACUCCAAGGUGACUUUACCAAACUGACAGCCUGAGGCACUGUGUCUGAGAUGACUGGAAAGGAAAGAGGGGCAACCCCAGCCACCAUAGUCAGAGUCUGUCUGUCAAGCACACAGAGUAUCCCUGCAAACCUGCCUACCAUCUCAAGGGGAAGCUUUGUGCUGUGAAGUGAGCCCCAGCAACAGUGCAGUAAGCAGGCUCUGAGAGUUCUUCAAUUCUAUCUCUGGCACUGAGGAGCUAAUUCUUUGCAUUUCCUCAAACAGUCUUAGUCAUUUCAGUCAGCAAAGACCCAUUGGAGGCUUACGUUCUAUUACUGCCUCCUUCCAGAUGUCAGCAGUCGAUGCAGGAGCUUGGUGGCACAGUGUUUCUCCGGUAUGACUCUGUUUAGCUGAGUGAGAGGAAACAUCAUGUGGUGCCUUUGACACUGUCAGAUCUGUUACCUUUAAAUCUUUAGUGAAUCAGCAGACUAAUGUAGUGAACUAAAGCAAUUUAUGUAGAAUGGGAGCAAUCUAAGGUACAAAAUGGCAGUUGGGAGUUUAACUUAAUGGGAAUUAAUGGUUGUUGCUGGAGAUCUUAAUUCUUAUUAGACCAAUUUCACCCUGUUUCCACUGCUGGUGCUUUUAAGCUAGGGAGAAAAAAAAAGUUUAAUGGAAAUUCUAGAUCUUACUGAUUAGUGCAGUGCUGAGAAAUAAGAAGUCUUAAACUUUUGUGCAGUGUGGAUCACUUUGUUAGAGAAACUGCCUUGCUGGCCACCAUCAUUUCUCAUUUGUAAUAAAUAGGCAACUUUUUCAGCUGUUCAUGUUUGUAAGGUCAGCUCAAUCUAUCCUUUGGGACAUCUCCAGGAAAGAACAGUAACUGCCUAUCUGAAAAAAUAGCAUCAAGAAAGUACCAGAUACUCAUGUAUGUUUUGUAUCCCUUUUAUGAAUAUGUAAUAUUAAAACCCAGGAGAAGCUAAUUCCAUGAGAGGAAUAAUUUUUUCCUUGUCCUCUAGGAAACCAUUUUGUGAAUUUUUUGUUGAACUUUGUGUGAACUUUUUGUGAAUUUUUUUGUUGAAUUUUGUCUUUUCUUAGGAAGGUAGAUGUCCACCAGGGCAGGAUGGGCAAACUUGCUCAUGUCCAUGAUGAUCUUAAGGGCAUCUGAUCUGAAGAGUACAUUCAUGCUGUAGUCCCUUCAACUGCCUCUGUCCAUCCCUGGGCAUGUGUUUGAUGUUGUUUUUGCUGUUCAACAAAGUUUGAUUCAUCUCCUUGUUGACUUCUUUAUCUUCUUCAAAUGAUGACCUACUUUUCCAUCUUUUUUUGUUUCCUCUGUCCUAUCAUAAUUUUAUCUGACUCCUUCUCUGCUUUAUAGACCUCCGUAAAUUGAAAUAGUUUAACUCUAUUAUAAAAUUAUUUCUGAGUUAGAUGUCUAAUAUUUUCCGUAUCAAGUUAUUUUUAACUUUUCUGCAAGCCUCUGAAAAUUAAUUUGAUAUUUCCCUUGUUUAAAUCAUAGUAAAAAAUAGAUACUUGUUUGAUAAAUUUGGUAAACCUUUUAAAUUUACUAUGGUAUUGUUGCUUUGUUGAUGCUUCAUUCCACCACUAAAAACAGGAAAAUGAGUGCUGCUGCUGAUUCCAAAGAGCAUGCUUUAAAGAACAUCCACUAAUUUUUCUUACAAAUAAAUAUUUGAUAUUACAAAUACUUAAUAUUUAAUAUUCCAGUAAUUUUUUCACUUUGCUUUCUAGUACUACUUACUCAGCUUUAUUAACAAGAGUAAAUUUUCCUUCUAACCAAGCUGUUCAUCACAAUACUCAUUUUAUCAACGCUACAAACUAAACCAUACUGGAAAUCCAGCCAAAACUUAACAGCUUUUUUAUUCUCAGAGCACUGUGCCAUUUUCCUGUAAGUUUUAUUAUUCUAUCCUACCAUUCAUCUCCUACUGUGAGAGAAC
ensembl:lncRNA